CUUAGAAUAUCCUCUUACAGUAUUAAGUCUGUUGUGUAAGUUCAAUAGAGUAACUUUAACCCAUGCUAUUUACAAAACUAGUACUAUGCUAAAAUAACACAAAGUAUUAAAUAGAGUUUUCAAAGCAAGGCUUUGAAGUGGGCAUGCAUGAUUUCUUUCAUUUUAAUAGUAGUUUGCAUAAGUGUAGGCAGAGGCAUUUCCUAAGUCUUUUCCUAUAAGAUUCUUGUUUGCUUCACAGCACUAAAAUUCACACAUUCAUGAACAGGAAACCCAAGCAAGUAGAUUCUCUGUAAUAUUGGUAACUAGGUCACAUUGUUAAAUCAACACUGAAAGUUUCUGCAGUAUUCCUGAGGGAACAGAAUUCACUCUAUUGCAUUAAGAUAAUGGAGAGUUGUUUUUAGACUAUGGGAACAAAUUUAUGACUCUUCACAAAAAGAAACCUUUAGAGCCAUGGAAAUGUGUCUUCAGGCACAGGAUUCUUGUGCUUCUACAAACAGUCUAAAGGUUUCUGGAUGUAUCUGUGGAGUUUUAAAGACGUUGUAUCAAGAAAAACCUGCUGAGAGGCUAUACACCCUUCUGUUGUUUUAUUUAAAGGUCUACCUUCUUUGGUUGGCUGAUAAUGUCUCUUUGCUUCUUUUUUAUUUAUUUAUUUAUUUUUGUUUUUGUUUUGUGCAUCUAUCAACAUUUACAUAAAAAUUUGCUAUCAGCCAUGGAGGUAUUCCAGAAAGAGUCUCAACACACAAAAUCAAAUGAGCCAAGUUUGUAUGAUAUCUGAACUUUCAUAUAUGAAAGAUUGAAAUCAGUAGACUCAUAGGCAUAUAUUCUAUUUAGACCUCUUCUACAGAUGCAGAGCCUAAAACACAGUAGUGCUUUUUUAAUUUGUGAGGGCAUUCAUUAUAUCAUGCAAGAAUAGAAAGAUAUACAAAUGUAUCAGAACACAAGAAGAGGAUUGGCUGAAUAUCCAGGAUGAAUAUAAUCUUCAGUAAUGGAAAACAUUUAUUUGUCUUAUUUUGUCUCUGUUGAAAAAAACAGCUUCUCAUAUGCUAUGGGAACUAUUUGGCACUGUUUACUACUUGAAAGCAGUAAAUAAGUAGAAAUAGAAAAAGAAAACUUGACUUUCCAACAUUAUCAGAUCAAAAUAUUUAAAACUUAGAGAAUAUUGUCUUUAUUUGAAAACAAGUUCAAGUUUUAAUUAUAUAACUAUAUUGAGGUUAACCCCACAUAAAAGUAAUUCUACAAGGUCUGUUCUGUUUAAAUAGGAGAAUGAAUUCCUCAAUAAUGUUGGAAAAAUAUAAAUUAGCAAUUCUAUGUAUUGAAACACUCAUAUAAGGCUUUGAGUUCAAUGAAAAAAGGAGUAUGAAUGGUAAUGU
rnacentral:lncRNA from 1 species